rnacentral:rRNA from 1 species
GAUGAACGCUGGCGGCGUGCCUAAUACAUGCGAGUCGAGCGAACGGACGAGAAGCUUGCUUCUCUGAUGUUAGCGGCGGACGGGUGAGUAACACGUGGAUAACCUACCUAUAAGACUGGGAUAACUUCGGGAAACCGGAGCUAAUACCGGAUGAUAUUUUGAACCGCAUGGUUCAAAAGUGAAAGACGGUCUUGCUGUCACUUAUAGAUGGAUCCGCGCUGCAUUAGCUAGUUGGUAAGGUAACGGCUUACCAAGGCAACGAUGCAUAGCCGACCUGAGAGGGUGAUCGGCCACACUGGAACUGAGACACGGUCCAGACUCCUACGGGAGGCAGCAGUAGGGAAUCUUCCGCAAUGGGCGAAAGCCUGACGGGGCAACGCCGCGUGAGUGAUGAAGGUCUUCGGAUCGUAAAACUCUGUUAUUAGGGAAGAACAUAUGUGUAAGUAACUGUGCACAUCUUGACGGUACCUAAUCAGAAAGCCACGGCUAACUACGUG